rnacentral:rRNA from 1 species
UACGCAAGGGGCUAGCGUUGUUCGGAAUUACUGGGCGUAAAGCGCGCGUAGGCGGCCUUGUAAGAUGGGGGUGAAAUCCCCGGGCUCAACCCGGGAACUGCCUUCAUGACUGCAAAGCUUGAGGAUGCGAGAGGUUAGCGGAAUUCCGAGUGUAGAGGUGAAAUUCGUAGAUAUUCGGAAGAACACCAGUGGCGAAGGCGGCUAACUGGCGCAUUUCUGACGCUGAGGUGCGAAAGCGUGGGGAGCAAACAGG